CAUGGCGAGGACCGGCCUUUCUGUUGGUUCUAGGUAAAACUACACAUGCAAGUAUCCGCACUCCAGUGAGAAUGCCCUCUAAAUCACACCUGAUUAAAAGGAGCGGGCAUCAAGCGCACUACAAAGUAGCUCAUAACGCCUUGCUUAACCACACCCCCACGGGAAACAGCAGUGAUAAAAAUUAAGCCAUGAACGAAAGUUUGACUAAGUUAUACCUACUCCUUAGGGUUGGUAAAUUUCGUGCCAGCCACCGCGGUCACACGAUUAACCCAAAUCAACAGAAACACGGCGUAAAGCGUGUUUAAGAACACAAGAAAAAUAAAGUUAAACUCUAGCUAAGCUGUAAAAAGCCAUAGCUAAAAUAAAAAUAGACCACGAAAGUGACUUUACAAAUUCUGAAUACACGAUAGCUAAGACCCAAACUGGGAUUAGAUACCCCACUAUGCUUAGCCCUAAACCUAAACAAUUAGCACAACAACAUUAUUCGCCAGAGUACUACUAGCAACAGCUUAAAACUCAAAGGACUUGGCGGUGCUUUAUACCCCUCUAGAGGAGCCUGUCCUAUAAUCGAUAGACCCCGAUAAACCUCACCAGCCCUUGCCAACUCAGCUUAUAUCCGGCAUCCUCAGCAAACCUAAAAAGGAGCCUUAGUAAGCACAAACAUA
rnacentral:rRNA from 1 species